UACGUAGGGUGCGAGCGUUGUCCGGAAUUACUGGGCGUAAAGAGCUCGUAGGCGGUUUGUCGCGUCUGCCGUGAAAGUCCGGGGCUCAACUCCGGAUCUGCGGUGGGUACGGGCAGACUAGAGUGAUGUAGGGGAGACUGGAAUUCCUGGUGUAGCGGUGAAAUGCGCAGAUAUCAGGAGGAACACCGAUGGCGAAGGCAGGUCUCUGGGCAUUAACUGACGCUGAGGAGCGAAAGCAUGGGGAGCGAAACAGG
rnacentral:rRNA from 1 species